AAGAGGAGACUUUCUUUCUUUAAGUUUGUUAUCCCUCCAACUGUUCCAACCUCUCCGGACUAAGGACCUGGGGGAAGCACCAGGGGGCCUCCACAGGGGACCCACCCCACCAAGACCAGCCCUGCACAUCUCCUUUUCUCCUGGCGCCAGCGGAGACGGAGCAGCGGAGCACAAGAUCUCUUGUCUACAUUCAUCCACACCGUCCUGGAGUCUGCAGCAAAGCAAUAUCUACAGUCUUUAAAGAUGUUCUCCAGCCAGUCUUCUGCUCCUUGCUUAAUCUCCUCCAUCAUGCCCUUCGUUUCUUGGAUGGAAUUGUGGAUGCUCUGGAUUUUGCUGGAGAGAUUGGAACAGCGCAUCCCUUGAGAAUCCUCACACUCAUGUCCCUGCACUACUGACUGAGUCAGAAGCAACAGAAAACACAAGAGUUCUGGCCUCAUCUUGGGGGUUGGGAGGAUGCCCUUAAAGGAAAUCGAAAAAUAACAUACACAGGCGUGCUUGUUGGACCAAGAAGACAAUGGCCCUCAUUUACUGCUGAGAACAUGGACUACCUGUUCCCCCUCGGUGGCUUCAAUAGAUUUACCUGUUCCCCCCGUGAUUGAGGACUAUAAUAAAAACCCCUGAGUUAACCAGGGAGAGAGAGACUCUCCCCAACGUGACAGGCGGACCCAUUGACCAGACCACGAGGACUUCGUCUCCACAUCUGGUAGCUAUAUCCCCCCUUUCCUCUCUCUCUUUCUCUAUCUUUUUCUCUCACUCUUAAUCCCUCUAUCGCAUUUGCUAUGGUCAGUCAAUAAAAGGUGCAUUUGUUUUAAUGCUGAAAUCCCCUCUGUGUUGUGUUUUGCACUCUGAGGUUGGCAAACAAACCAUCACGACCCCCGCUUGUACGAGCGGAUCGUGACAUUAAAUUGGCGUCAUGGACAGGAUUCUGAGAGACGGAGGGGUAUGCAGGGUUGUGUGUAGUCUGUAAUAGGGGAAGGACGUUUCCCUCCAGCCGCACCUAGCCUGUCAUUCCCGAAAGGGUUGAACAGAGCUAGAAAGCAAGGGGGGCGACUCGAAUUUCCCACAAACUGCACACGCCUAGAUGAUAAGCACCCCCAUACUCAAUUGAGGGUUCUGUCUUCAGAAUUUCACAAAAGAUCUCUUAGUGCAAAAAGGGGAAACUGUUUUUGUGUUUGUGUGUCUCUGGACUGUCUGGGAAGGAAGGGACAACCUGAAGAAACUAAGCAGGGCCUCCCAGGCAGAUUUUGUCUCUUCACCCACCCAGGGAAGCGAAGGGAGACACAGCAAAAGCUGUGUGUGUGUGUAACUAAGUCUUACCUCCCUGUCAUGGUUUUUUGAUCCCUUCAUAAAAUGACCGUAAACCCUAGUGCAAAAAACAAAGCUGUAUUUUAUGCGUUACUUGCUAAACACAAUGCCAAGCCUUCUCCGGGAGGGGAAGAGUGGGCACAAUGCAAUUGGUUUAAUUUGGAAAAUGUUAUUGAUAGAGUAUGUUCUUUACAACAUGAAACAAAAUUUAAACUGGGCAAAAACAAAACUAUCCUCUGCUCAGUUUUGGGAGCUUGUCUUUCAGCAGCUGUAGAAAGUUGCUUUAAGCAAAGAAGUGAGGAAAAAGCUAUAAUAGACUCCCUUCAAAACCUAGUUGAAAUUUUGCAAAAACAAUUAAAUGAAGAAAGGAAUGAGAUCUAUGCACUGAGAGCUGCCCUUAGAGGGGAACGUCUUAAAAACUCCUAUAAUGUUGAUUCCUCUAUAGAAACAGAGGAGAAGGAAACUCCUCACACUAAACAAAUCUAUCCCCAUAAGGAACUUGAAGCAGUCAAAAACUGUGGGGAAAUCUGCUGUCCUCACUUGAGACCCUUGGUUAAAACAGAAUAUAAUUAUAUUAAUGAUGAUUUCGAACCACAUAUCACAACCAAACAUAUACCAUACAGUGCUAAUGAAUUGGCUAAGCUAAAAAAGGAAUAUGGGCGCUUCCCACAAGAAUCGGAGACGAAAUAUGUCCUCCGAGUGUCCCUCACUGGUGGAGAUCAAAUUAAAUUAACUGAACAUGAGGCCAGUGGAUAUCGGGGACAUGGAGUUUUCUUAACAACAGGAAAUAAACAUAUUCCGUGAUCUCUGACUCAGUUUGUACCUUAUUGGGCAGGGGGGCUUAGCCCCUUGGAAAGGGGUGAUCCUUUGGCUAUAAUCGGUGGCCCUGAUCAACUGCUAGAAAACAUUCACAAAGCUGCCUGCUUGGAAAUGAUACAUGAAAGAAAAUUAAUUUCUGGCUAUGAAUCACCAAAGCAAUUAUCUGUGCAGCCUGAACUGAUGACCCCUUUAAUUCGGGGGCUUCCAGAAUCACUUAAACCUACAGCAAUUUCUUCACAAAAAAACAUGAUGGCUUUAGGUCUCGUAGAAAGGCUGGAUAGAUUCCUUGGAAACCCAAGCAACCAAACUGGAUCUACUGAUCCUGGGUUUACUCCAUAUUCAACCCCCUCUCAGCUGCCAGCUUCUCAACCUGAUUCAUCUGCCGGUGAUCGUAAAGUUUGGACUGGGAGUCAGCUUGCAGCAGAUCUCAUUAAUUACAGGAGAAAGUAUGGACCUGUAAAAACCCCGGAGGACUUCUACUAGGCUUUCCCAAGGGUACAAACAAUCCCCCACUGUUGGGGAAGAUGAAGCCAGAAAGCCCUAUAAAUAUGAUUGCUUAGAUUCUGAGAAUGUGAAACCUGUGAGAUAGAAUUGAAAGUAAGUUUUGAUGUUUGAGAUGUCCUAGCUACUGGAUGUCUGGGAAAACAGUUAUGUGACCAGCUGAAGGUCACAUGCAGCCAGACCCAGAGGUCAAAUGGAAUGUUCUGUCUCACCCCCAAUGUAUGGUUCAUCCCACACCUGUAACCUGUUGUGUUCCUCUGAGGAAUGGUUUUCCCCCUCAGAGUCCCCCUGAAACCUGUGCUAUGUAGUUCAACCCUUUUUCCCUAUCAUACCUACUCCUGACCCUAUUGGCUCAGGGCCAAUAUCUUUCCUUGGCCCAAAACUAGAUAUACCCCUGUUUCUUCCUGGUUCUCUCUCUCUCUCCUCGGCCUCCUGGAACAUCACAUCGAGAAUAAAGCUUGGACGGAAGCUGGGGGUGAGAGCCACUCUUUUGAAAUCUCUAUUCUGUCUCUCUGAAAUAUAUUUCCCUAAACCCCCUGAAUAACUGAGCUAGCGAGAGCCGGGGGGUGGCUAGAGGGAAGUAUAUUUUCAGUUGGCCCCCAACGUCGGUUUGUUAUGAAAUAUUAAUAAGCCCACGCAUGAAGAGGGACUCCCUAUUUAAGGGGUUAAUAAUCUCUUUGGAAGGCACAACUAGCUGGCCCCUAUCGGCUGUUUUCGAGCAGCUCGGGGUGGCAGGACAAGGUCGGGAGUUCGCUUUUACUACAAAAGUGAAUCGACCUUAGACAGAAAACCCUGACGUUGCAACACGUGCUGCGGGGUUCGCUAGAAGAUCUCUAGAGUUUAUGUGAAAAGUGCAUAUUAUAUGGCUCUACGCAAGAUAUUUACUAUAUGUGUUAUGUUGUGCUAAUUGUUAAUGUGGUAUUAAUAUUUUGAUAGUAUGGUAAAUGUAGUUUUGUAGUUAAAAUGUAGUUUUUAUGUACCAACCACAAGAAAAUGUAAAUCUUUCAAAGAAGAAAGAAUUUACUACUUUCUUAUCAGAAGAGACCAGCUCCUCCUGCUUCUCUCAGCCUGGUGGACGCCAUAGAGAUUAAAGGAAAAAAGUGAUACUAACCAGAGACAAUUCUUAGUUAGAAUGGAAUUUAUGCAUUAUAUAUGAAUUGUAUGAAUAUUCAACAGGCGAUUGCUUUUAAGAGAUAAUCCUUUGUUAACAGGGGUCCUUCUUCAGAGCUUGUGGCUCGGGAGAGGCACCCAGACGCCUGUAACUUUGUUUUUAUUGUCUUGUAUUGUCCUAACUCUAAAACUGUUCAAUUUUUUUACUCUAAUUCUAUUUUUAUAACCAUCUUAUUUACUAUUAAACUUUUAAAAUUUUAAAACAAG